UCGUAUUUCAUCUCGGAAGACUCUAAUGAUAAGUGUAAUACGCUCCCAGGGUGCAAGAAGUCUGAGGCUCCCAGGGCUCACCGGGACAUGGGAAGGUUCUGGCCCCAGACUUCGCAGCCCGACAUCUGAAGACCAGAUGGCUGGCCUGGAACUCAUUAUAAAGACUAGGAGGGCCUCCUCUGCCUCUGUGUCUGGAGCGCUGGAAUUAAAGGCACAUACCACCAUCCGGGGUUUUAUCCCAUGCUGGCAACUGAACCCCAGGCUUGAUGCAUUCGAGUGUGCUGACCAGAAAAUUCAAAACCAUUCACCCAACUGCCUCUGGGGUUGGUCUGUACGUAUUUUCUCUAAGGCAAGAUCACACAUCAUAAAAGAAUGCACUUACAGCCAACCAUAUAACUCAGCAGCGAAAGGUGAUUGCAGACAAGCCUGAUGACCUGGGUUCAAUUCCCGGGACCCUCAAGGUUUAAGUGAGAGAAGCAAUUCCAACAAGUUGUCCUCUGACCUCCACGCAUACCCCGUGGCAUGUUCCCAGCACCAUCCGUCCCCAUAAAGUAAAUAAAUAAAUGCUUAAAAAACUAAA